rnacentral:rRNA from 1 species
CCUACGGGUGGCAGCAGUGGGGAAUAUUGGACAAUGGGGGCAACCCUGAUCCAGCCAUGCCGCGUGUGUGAAGAAGGCCCUCGGGUUGUAAAGCACUUUCAGUGAGGAAGAACGCCUGGUGGUUAAUACCCAUCAGGAAAGACAUCACUCACAGAAGAAGCACCGGCUAACUCCGUGCCAGCAGCCGCGGUAAUACGGAGGGUGCGAGCGUUAAUCGGAAUUACUGGGCGUAAAGCGCGCGUAGGUGGCUUGAUAAGCCGGUUGUGAAAGCCCCGGGCUCAACCUGGGAACGGCAUCCGGAACUGUCAAGCUAGAGUGCAGGAGAGGAAGGUAGAAUUCCCGGUGUAGCGGAGAAAUGCGUAGAGAUCGGGAGGAAUACCAGUGGCGAAGGCGGCCUUCUGGACUGACACUGACACUGAGGUGCGAAAGCGUGGGUAGCAAACAGGAUUAGAUACCCUGGUAGUC